AUUGGACGCUGGCGGAAUGCUUUACACAUGCAAGUCGAACGGCAGCACGGACUUCGGUCUGGUGGCGAGUGGCGAACGGGUGAGUAAUGUAUCGGAACGUGCCCAGUCGUGGGGGAUAACGUAGUGAAAAUUACGCUAAUACCGCAUACGAUCUAUGGAUGAAAGCGGGGGAUCGCAAGACCUCGCGCGAUUGGAGCGGCCGAUAUCAGAUUAGGUAGUUGGUGGGGUAAAGGCCCACCAAGCCAACGAUCUGUAGCUGGUCUGAGAGGACGACCAGCCACACUGGAACGGGGACACGGUCCAGACUCCUACGGGAGGCAGCAGUGGGGAAUUUUGGACAAUGGGCGAAAGCCUGAUCCAGCCAUUCCGCGUGCAGGAUGAAGGCCCUCGGGUUGUAAACUGCUUUUGUACAGAACGAAAAGGUUUCUACUAAUACUAGGAGCUCAUGACGGUACUGUAAGAAUAAGCACCGGCUAACUACGUGCCAGCAGCCGCCGUAA
rnacentral:rRNA from 1 species